rnacentral:misc_RNA from 1 species
CCAAACUUGGUCAUUUAGAGGAAGUAAAAGUCGUAACAAGGUUUCCGUAGAUGAACCUGCGGAAGGAUCAUUACUGAGUUAGGGUCUCCUAGGCCCGACCUCCAACCCUUUGUCUACCCUACUUUUUGUUGCUUCGGCGGGCCCGUCUUUAACUAGACCGCCGGAGGGGUUAUCCCCCUCUGGCCCGUUGUCCGCCGAUGGCCCUCCACAAAAACUCUUGAUGAAUUGUGUCGUCUGAGUAUAAUAUAAUAAAAUUAAAAACUUUCAACAACGGAUCUCUUGGUUCUGGCAUCGAUGAAGAACGCAGC